GGGCUCGUAGCUCAGCUAGGUAGAGCGGCAGGCUCUUAACCUGUUGGUCGGGGGUUCGAAUCCCCCCGAGCCCG
rnacentral:tRNA from 2 species